GAUGAACGCUGGCGGCGUGCCUAAUACAUGCAAGUCGAGCGAACGGACGAGAAGCUUGCUUCUCUGAUGUUAGCGGCGGACGGGUGAGUAACACGUGGAUAACCUACCUAUAAGACUGGGAUAACUUCGGGACACCGGAGCUAAUACCGGAUAAUAUUUUGAACCGCAUGGUUCAAAAGUGAAAGACGGUCUUGCUGUCACUUAUAGAUGGAUCCGCGCUGCAUUAGCUAGUUGGUAAGGUAACGGCUUACCAAGGCAACGAUGCAUAGCCGACCUGAGAGGGUGAUCGGCCACACAGGAACUGAGACACGGUCCAGACUCCUACGGGAGGCAGCAGUAGGGAAUCUUCCGCAAUGGGCGAAAGCCUGACGGAGCAACGCCGCGUGAGUGAUGAAGGUCUUCGGAUCGUAAAACUCUGUUAUUAGGGAAGAACAUAUGUGUAAGUAACUGUGCACAUCUUGACGGUACCUAAUCAGAAAGCCACGGCUAACUACGUG
rnacentral:rRNA from 1 species